rnacentral:rRNA from 1 species
CCUACGGGAGGCAGCAGUGGAGAAUAUUUCACAAUGGGGGGAACCCUGAUGCAGCGACGCCGCGUGAGUGAAGGAGGAUUUCGGUAUGUAAAGCUCUAUCAGCAGGGGAGAAAAUGACGGUACCUGACUAAGAAGCCCAGGCUAACUACGUGCCAGCAGCCGCGGUAAUACGUAGGGGGCAAGCGUUAUCCGGAUUUACUGGGUGUAAAGGGAGCGUAGACGGUUAUGCAAGUCUGAAGUGAAAGCCAAAGGCUCAACCAGGGGACUGCUUUGGAAACUGUAAAACUGGAGUGAAGGAGAGGUAAGCGGAAUUCCUGGUGUAGCGGUGAAAUGCGUAGAUAUUGGGAGGAACACCAGUGGCGAAGGCGGGUUACUGGACUGUAACUGACGUUGAGGCUCGAAGGCGUGGGGAGCAAACAGGAUUAGAUACCCGUGUAGUC